GCUGACCAUGGUGGUGCAAGCCUGUGCUCCCAGCUAUUCAGGAGGCUGAGGUGGGAGGAUCAACUGAGCCCAGGGAGGUCAAGGCUGCAGUAAGCUGUGGACUGUGGUCACACCACUGCACUCCAGCCUGAGCAGGAGAGUAAGACCCUGUCUCAAAAAAAAAANNNNNNNNNNUUUUUUUUUUGAGACAGGGUCUUACUCUCCUGCUCAGGCUGGAGUGCAGUGGUGUGACCACAGUCCACAGCUUACUGCAGCCUUGACCUCCCUGGGCUCAGUUGAUCCUCCCACCUCAG
rfam:Gorilla gorilla gorilla genomic chromosome, chr13, whole genome shotgun sequence